UAAGUAGUAAGUACUAACCAUUUUGUACAUUGUGCUUUUAGAGUUACAACUCUAAAAGCACAAUGUACAAAAUGGUUAGUACUUACUACUUA
rnacentral:pre_miRNA from 1 species